CAUAAAAUUGGUGAUGAGGCUUACCUUGAUAUUCUUGAUAUAUCAAAACCGUCUUUAGACUAAUAGCUUCUACUCCCUA
rnacentral:ncRNA from 2 species